rnacentral:sRNA from 1 species
UCGGUUCCUAUUGAAACGAGGACAC